rnacentral:rRNA from 1 species
AACGAACGCUGGCGGCAUGCCUAACACAUGCAAGUCGAACGAGACCUUCGGGUCUAGUGGCGCACGGGUGCGUAACGCGUGGGAACCUGCCCUUAGGUUCGGAAUAACUCCCCGAAAGGGGUGCUAAUACCGGAUAAUGUCUUCGGGCCAAAGAUUUAUCGCCUUUGGAUGGGCCCGCGUUGGCUUAGCUAGUUGGUAGGGUAAAAGCCUACCAAGGCGACGAUCCAUAGCUGGUCUGAGAGGAUGAUCAGCCACACUGGGACUGAGACACGGCCCAGACUCCGACGGGAGGCAGCAGUGGGGAAUAUUGGACAAUGGGCGAAAGCCUGGUCCAGCAAUGCCGCGUGAGUGAUGAAGGCCUUAGGGUUGUAAAGCUCUUUUACCCGGGAUGAUAAUGACAGUACCGGGAGAAUAAGCUCCGGCUAACUCCGUG